AUACGUAGGGGGCGAGCGUUGUCCGGAAUGAUUGGGCGUAAAGGGCGCGUAGGCGGCGCGGUAAGUCUGGAGUGAAAGUCCUGCUUUCAAGGUGGGAAUUGCUUUGGAUACUGCCGCGCUUGAGUGCAGGAGAGGUUAUCGGAAUUCCCGGUGUAACGGUGAAAUGCGUAGAGAUCGGGAGGAACACCAGUGGCGAAGGCGGGUAACUGGACUGCAACUGACGCUGAGGCGCGAAAGUGUGGGGAGCAAACAGGAUUAGAUACCCUGGUAGUCCACACUGUAAACGAUGAAUGCUAGGUGUAAGAGGUAUCGACCCCUUUUGUGCCGGAGUCAACACAAUAAGCAUUCCGCCUGGGGAGUACGGCCGCAAGGUUGAAACUCAAAGGAAUUGACGGGG
rnacentral:rRNA from 1 species